rnacentral:rRNA from 1 species
AGAUUGAACGCUGGCGGCAGGCCUAACACAUGCAAGUCGAGCGGUAGAGAGGUGCUUGCACCUCUUGAGAGCGGCGGACGGGUGAGUAAUGCCUAGGAAUCUGCCUAGUGGUGGGGGAUAACGUUCGGAAACGGACGCUAAUACCGCAUACGUCCUACGGGAGAAAGCGGGGGACCUUCGGGCCUCGCGCCAUUAGAUGAGCCUAGGUCGGAUUAGCUAGUUGGUGAGGUAAUGGCUCGACCAAGGCGACGAUCCGUAACUGGUCUGAGAGGAUGAUCAGUCACACUGGAACUGAGACACGGUCCAGACUCCUACGGGAGGCAGCAGUGGGGAAUAUUGGACAAUGGGCAAAGCCUGAUCCAGCCAUGCCGCGUGUGUGAAG